UCCUCGAUAGCUCAGUUGGUAGAGCAACGGACUGUUAAUCCGUUUGUCCCUGGUUCGAGUCCAGGUCGAGGAGCCA
rnacentral:tRNA from 1 species